rnacentral:rRNA from 1 species
AUAAGGAGCUUGCUCCUUUGAAGUUAGCGGCGGACGGGUGAGUAACACGUGGGUAACCUACCUAUAAGACUGGAAUAACUUCGGGAAACCGGAGCUAAUGCCGGAUAACAUAUAGAACCGCAUGGUUCUAUAGUGAAAGAUGGUUUUGCUAUCACUUAUAGAUGGACCCGCGCCGUAUUAGCUAGUUGGUAAGGUAAUGGCUUACCAAGGCGACGAUACGUAGCCGACCUGAGAGGGUGAUCGGCCACACUGGAACUGAGACACGGUCCAGACUCCUACGGGAGGCAGCAGUAGGGAAUCUUCCGCAAUGGGCGAAAGCCUGACGGAGCAACGCCGCGUGAGUGAUGAAGGUUUUCGGAUCGUAAAACUCUGUUAUUAGGGAAGAACAAAUGCGUAAGUAACUGUGCGCAUCUUGACGGUACCUAAUCAGAAAGCCACGGCUAACUACGUGCCAGCAGCCGCGGUAAUACGUAGGUGGCAAGCGUUAUCCGGAAUUAUUGGGCGUAAAGCGCGCGUAGGCGGUUUCUUAAGUCUGAUGUGAAAGCCCACGGCUCAACCGUGGAGGGUCAUUGGAAACUGGGAAACUUGAGUGCAGAAGAGGAAAGUGGAAUUCCAUGUGUAGCGGUGAAAUGCGCAGAGAUAUGGAGGAACACCAGUGGCGAAGGCGACUUUCUGGUCUGUAACUGACGCUGAUGUGCGAAAGCGUGGGGAUCAAACAGGAUUAGAUACCCCUGGUAGUCCACGCCGUAAACGAUGAGUGCUAAGUGUUAAGGGGGUUUCCGCCCCCUUAGUGCUGCAGCUAACGCAUUAAGCACUCCCGCCUGGGGGAGUACGACCCGCAAGGGUUGAAACUCCAAAGGAAUUUGACGGGGGACCCCGCACCAAGCGGGUGGGAGCAUGGUGGGUUUAAUUCCGAAGCAACCGCGAAAGAACCUUUACC